UGUACAUUCAUUCGGCUAGUUAUAUAGGCAGGCAGAUGGUGUGUACGACUUGAUACAAAUAUAUGUACAUAUAUACAUCGGAGACUUCGGAGUGAUAUAUAUGUAUGUAUAUACGUAAAAGACGUAAGCUGGAAUAUAUAAUAGAACUACUAUAGGAUUUAUAGCACAGAACCCAUAAACAGUAUUUAUAUUCACAAUGUUACAAGGAAUUAUUUUAUUGUGUUUUUUCAAUAUAUUAGCUAGUGUAUCAAGUCAGAGUAAUGACCCGGAUGCAUAUUUAGAAGAAGCCAGUCAAAUUUACAGCACCAUUUUACAUAAAUAUAACGCUAAAGUUCGUCCACCUGAAAAAUGGCCGAAUCAAGUUUCCGUGACGUUAACCGGUACUUUAUGGCACAUUAGAGAUAUUGAUUUGAUGAAACAGGAGAUGGAGAGCUUAAUAGAUCUUAAAAUAACUUGGACCGAUAAAAGAUUGGCCUGGUAUCCUAAUAAUGUUCGCCAGAUCUCAACCAACGUUUCUACAGUUUGGUCUCCGGAACUCACUUAUUCUAAUGCUGUUUUACCACCAAAGGCCAUGUUUCCUGCCACGGUAACAAUCCGUUCUGAGGGUUAUAUCCUGUGGCACCGUCGAGAGAUCAUCACCACCCUGUGUCCCACCGACCCUUACAGUCGAACACAAACAUGCACCAUAACAUUGCAGCUCGUGUCACCCGGAAGUCAAGAAUACUUCAGAAACAACACCCAGUUCACCAUGAGCAAAACCUUCUCGAACCAUAUGUGGCAAAUUGACGACGCCGAACUUAAUUUCAGUGAUGAAAACCAAACGGAAGUGAACUUUAGCUUAAAUAUGAAACAAAAAGCGAAAAUAUGUCAAGAUGUGUUGGAGCAUGAAAAUAACUGCAGCUUGCCUUUCAGAUGUAUGAAUGGAGUCUCCAAGGGAGGUUACUCUGGUUCCACAUUAACUCUUGCUUCUGUGUUUAUGUUUGUUUUAUUUUGUUUUCGUGAAUAGUAAUGUAUAGGUCCUAGUUCAAGUUUUAUAAUUAAUAUACAUAGUUAUAUUGCCUGUAAGUGACAUUGCACAGCUAAACGAAAAUAUCCUUAGGCUACAUCACUUUAAAUUUCUGUUCUUCGGGAAAUCCUAUUAAAAAUUCUGCCCCCAAUUUCUUCAGGAAAUAAAAACUAAUUUAAAAAAGUUUUAAUUUCAAAUAUUUCAGUUUUAACCUUUUAACAAAACAUCGUACACAGGAAUUGGCUGUAGUAUUUAUUUAUUGACCACAACCCCGAAGAACUAAAACUUCAGUUGGUUUGGCCUAAAUUAUAAAAUCAAAUUCCUUUUAACAAGAAAAUAAAAAUUGAGAACUUUGACCCUUUGAUACCAAGGAGAAUACAUCUCUACCAUAAAUGGCCGCCAUAUUCAACAAUUAGUGCACAAAAACUUUUCAAUUUUAUUAACUGAAAGCAGAAUAUAUACUUCUCAAAAUCCUCGAAAUAUACUAAAAUUGGUCAUUUAGGUCUUAAAAUGUCGGUCAAAUAGCUUAGUGUCUGUUCUUAAGCGGGGCUAAAUGUGGACAGACAGCGUGUUUAGUAUGCCGUCAGAUUGGUACAUUUGAAUGAAUGCGAUUUAGAUUAUUGACCCUUUAAGUAAUUCGCGAUUAGUAAUAGAGACUUAUGGUAAGCGGAAAUCCCUGGUCCCUAUCGCAUGUCCGUAUCGAAUUUUCUUUUGACGUCAAUAGGGGCAUGAUGAUUAAAACAAUUGUAUUAAUGAUUUUGUUAUUUUUUAUGGCGUUACAUGUAAAUCCUCCAGGUGUUGGGUCACGCUUAAUAAUAUUUGCUUUGGUUGAGGUAUGAUGAAUGAUUAAGAUUUUGUCUGGGAUAAUUUUGUUAUUUUUGAUGAUAUGAUCCGAUGCAUAGUCAGAUGCAAAACAAACACUGAUUGGUCAAUAUAACGAUAUGCAAAACAUACCCAUAUAUAGGAGAUAAGUUAUUAUGCAUAUAUAAGACUAAUAUUAUGGGUGCCUUCAUGUAAAUUUAAUUUAUUGCUAUUUGUAGAUUACUAGCUGAUGUAUCUAAUCUUCCUAUUGCUGUGUUAAAUCUAUUUGUUAAGGCCAGCUCAAUUUUUGUCAAGGUCGCUGAGAUGUAAAUAAGGUUAGGGCACGUUAUUGUUGGGUAGAUUUUAGGUAAGGGUAAGCAUUGGGACUAGGUCCAGGGUUAGGGUUGGGAUUAGCGCUAGUCCUGUUUACAUAUGGUGACCUUUGACCAAGCACUAAGCUGACCUUAUCAUUUAGCACUAACCCUAUUGCUGUGUUAAAUCACGGGACAGAAAUGGCGGUCACGUAUCAGUGAGCUGGGUCCGGAUACUUCUUAUACAAACGGUGAUAUUUUGAAUUUUUGAGAGCUCAAUGUUUCACAAUGUGUUAUUUAAAGGAAAACUUUAGACGUUGUACGAAAAACCAAGGUCCAUUGUAUACAUUGGGGUGCACGUAACAGAUCCCAUGGCUGUUGAAAUUCGAUAUGACAGUAGACCGUAACGCCGCUGUCUGGGCAAUAUUUCCCCCAAAGCACACUGCAUGGCGUAUGUCCGUCUUCAUUGGCCCAGUUGUAGCAGAACAGUACCUAGAAGUGUACCUGUACUGCAGCUUUAAGACUGAAAUGCGUGAUCGACGCCAGACAUGCGCAUAUUAUUACAACUUACUGACCACUCACAAUAGAGAGAUGAGCUACGGAGGUUUUCUAGAUUUGGCCAAAUGGCUUUUGUGUAGUUUAAUAAUCACUAAAGGAGCGUGGCUUGAUAUGAAAAUGUUAUUUAUAUUCCAUAGUCCCUGUAUAGAAUUGUGUAAAUUCCUUUUAUUUAUUAAAUGCCAUAGAAACAAUACUUUUAAUAUAGAGAUGUUUAAAUUCCAGUUAUCCCCCCUUAAAAUGUGUAUUCAAUCCCAUAAGCUAUGCUUUGUGUAUUAUAAUUUAUGUGGUCAAUCUGUGUUUAUGUUUCUUUUAUUCUUUUAUUUUGGAAUUAACAAACCCCCCGGAUUGCCACUGAAAAAAAUAUUAAACAAGUAAUAUUCCUUUUAAUUUUAGAGAUUUUAAAAAAUGCCAUAAUCUCCCUUUAAUUAUGCAUUCAUCCCAACCUCAACCCCCAAGCUAUGCAUUUUGUGUUAUAAAAUUUUGUGUAAAUCUCGAAAUAUGUGAUCGCCUUGUACAUAUGUGUCUUUUAAUAUGAAAAUAUAAAAUUUUAGUGACCUUUAUCCUUCUGAGUAGGUCAACAAUUAAAUCAGUAUGCUUUCUUAAUGGCAAUACCGCAUGAAUUCCAAUCUGAUUAAAAUACGGAUCUACAUUUCGGGUCCUUUAUUUAUACUUUUGAUGGCCCGCACUACAUUAAGAUCCGUUCUGUCUUUAGCGUGUAAUGUUCGCAUCCACCGAAGGUGAUAUCGCAGACAAGUCUUCUUUUUCAGUUUUUCUUAUUAUCUUAGCGCACGCGCAGGCGUCUUUCUUGUGGGGGAAAACUGGAGUACCCGGAGUAAACCCAAGAGGUUGAGAAGGCGCCCCUAUCUCCAGCCACAUAAGCUCACACCAGGGAUCGAAACCACAGCCGCAAGCCAGAGGUGACCGGCCAGCUAGAGGUCGAAGCGCGGCACUCUAGACCACGUCGGCCACACGAUAGGAACUCGACUUAACAUACCAUUUGAUUGGCGCUAAUCCUUGAUAUCACCCAGAGCAAGGGUUAACCAGAACCCGGGUUAUUUAACAACUCUUCCAGAUCCUGGUGGGUGAAGACAAUUAAAACGACAUUUUUAAACUAUAAAAAUAACGGAACGAAAUAGGAUCGGUGUUUUAAUCAGAUUGCAUGAAUUCCGACCCCGGAACGUUUGUAUUUUAAACAUUUGUUUUCUACACAUUAACAAAUUAACAGAAUGUGUCUUGAUUUUAUUUUAUUAUUUAUUUAUUUAGAUUUUAAAAUUUGCGAAUAUACAAAGAAGUCAUUAUCUAAUAUGCGCAUGUGUCAACCAUGAUAAUCUAGGGUUACCUCAGAUCAGGGAGAGUGUCAUACCUAUGGAAAACUCACUCUGCUACGGAGACACACGCAUGUGCAGUCGAUCAUGUUGACUUCCACGUAUAGACGCAUAUUAUUUUUAACUCGUUUCUUGUAUCUUUUGCAGUUAUGCGUGCUAACGUAUCAAUUCUACAAUGCUUGUUACCGGUUUCUAAUGUUAUUAUCUCCCUUGUAUCUGUAGCUGUUCACAAUUCGCCUUGAUUGUAAAAGUUUAUAAUAAAAAUAAUUUUUUUGGGGUUA